rnacentral:rRNA from 1 species
UACAGAGGGUGCGAGCGUUAAUCGGAAUUACUGGGCGUAAAGCGUGCGUAGACGGUUUCGUAAGUCGGGUGUGAAAUCCCCGGGCUCAACCUGGGAAUUGCAUUCGAAACUGCGAGGCUAGGGUACGGAAGAGGGAAGCGGAAUUUCUGGUGUAGCGGUGAAAUGCGUAGAUAUCAGGAAGAACACCCGUGGCGAAGGCGGCUUUCUGGGACGGUACUGACGCUGAGACGCGAAAGCGUGGGGAGCGAACAGG